rnacentral:rRNA from 1 species
UUCCGUAGGGUGACCUGCGGAGGGAUCAUUACCGAGUUUACAACUCCCAAACCCCUGUGAACAUACCAAUUGUUGCCUCGGCGGAUCAGCCCGCUCCCGGUAAAACGGGACGGCCCGCCAGAGGACCCCUAAACUCUGUUUCUAUAUGUAACUUCUGAGUAAAACCAUAAAUAAAUCAAAACUUUCAACAACGGAUCUCUUGGUUCUGGCAUCGAUGAAGAACGCAGCAAAAUGCGAUAAGUAAUGUGAAUUGCAGAAUUCAGUGAAUCAUCGAAUCUUUGAACGCACAUUGCGCCCGCCAGUAUUCUGGCGGGCAUGCCUGUUCGAGCGUCAUUUCAACCCUCAAGCCCUCGGGUUUGGUGUUGGGGAUCGGCGAGCCCUUGCGGCAAGCCGGCCCCGAAAUCUAGUGGCGGUCUCGCUGCAGCUUCCAUUGCGUAGUAGUAAAACCCUCGCAACUGGUACGCGGCGCGGCCAAGCCGUUAAACCCCCAACUUCUGAAUGUUGACCUCGGAUCAGGUAGGAAUACCCGCUGAACUUAAGCAUAUCAAUAAGCGGAGGAA